rnacentral:rRNA from 1 species
GACGGAGGAGGCUAGCGUUGUUCGGAAUUACUGGGCGUAAAGCGCGCGCGGGCGGUUAUGCAAGUCAGGGGUGAAAGCCCGAGGCUCAACCUCGGAACGGCCUUUGCGACUGCAUGACUAGAGACCGGGAGAGGAUCGCGGAAUUCCCGGUGUAGAGGUGAAAUUCGUAGAUAUCGGGAGGAACACCAGUGGCGAAGGCGGCGAUCUGGGUCGAUACUGACGCUGAGGUGCGAAAGCGUGGGGAGCAAACAGG